AGCGAACGCUGGCGGCGUGCUUAACACAUGCAAGCCGAGCGAGAAAGGGGGCUUCGGCCCCUGAGUACAGCGGCGAACGGGUGCGUAAUACAUGAGCAAUCUACCCUUGAGGCGGGAAUAACCCAGCGAAAGUUGGGCUAAUACCGGAUAAGACCACAAGAGGAGACCCUAGAGGCUAAAGGCAGCUCUCUUUUGGAGGCGGCCCUUUGAGGAGGAGCUCAUGUCCUANCAGCUAGUUGGUAGGGUAACGGCCUACCAAGGCGAAGACGGGUAGCUGGUCUUAGAGGAUGAUCAGCCACACGGGGACUGAGACACGGCCCCGACUCCUACGGGAGGCAGCAGUGGGAAUAUUGGGCAAUGGGGGAAACCCUGACCCAGCGACGCCGCGUGGGU
rnacentral:rRNA from 1 species